AUUGAACGCUGGCGGCAGGCCUAACACAUGCAAGUCGAGCGGAUGAAGGGAGCUUGCUCCUGGAUUCAGCGGCGGACGGGUGAGUAAUGCCUAGGAAUCUGCCUGGUAGUGGGGGAUAACGUCCGGAAACGGGCGCUAAUACCGCAUACGCCCUGAGGGAGAAAGUGGGGGAUCUUCGGACCUCACGCUAUCAGAUGAGCCUAGGUCGGAUUAGCUAGUUGGUGGGGUAAAGGCCUACCAAGGCGACGAUCCGUAACUGGUCUGAGAGGAUGAUCAGUCACACUGGAACUGAGACACGGUCCAGACUCCUACGGGAGGCAGCAGUGGGGAAUAUAGGACAAUGGGCGAAAGCCUGAUCCAGCCAUGCCGCGUGUGUGAAGAAGGUCUUCGGAUUGUAAAGCACUUUAAGUUGGGAGGAAGGGCAGUAAGUUAAUACCUUGCUGUUUUGACGUUACCAACAGAAUAAGCACCGGCUAACUUCGUG
rnacentral:rRNA from 1 species